rnacentral:tRNA from 1 species
GCCGGUGUAGCUCAGAUGGACUGAGAGCGCCUGUCUACGAAACAGGAGGCCGCAGGUUCAAGUCCUGCCAUCGGCG